rnacentral:rRNA from 1 species
AGUGAACGCUGGCGGCAUGCCUAACACAUGCAAGUCGAACGGCAGCACGGUAAGUUCUUGCUCUUACGGGUUGCGAGUGGCGGGCGGGUUACAUAUACAUCUGUCUCUUCUUUUUCGUGGGGCAUUACGUAGCGAAAUUUAUACUACUACCGCAUACUACCUACGGGUGAAAGCAGGUGAUCUCCGGACCUUGCGCGUUUGCAUGAGCCGAUGUCGGAUUAGCUAGUUGGCGGGGUAAAGGCCCACCAAGGCGACGAUCCGUAGCUGGUCUGAGAGGAUGAUCAGCCACACUGGAACUGAGACACGGUCCAGACUCCUACGGGAGGCAGCAGUGGGGAAUAUUGGACAAUGGGCGAAAGCCUGAUCCAGCAAUGCCGCGUGGGUGAAGAAGGCCUUCGGGUUGUAAAGCCCUUUUGUUGGGAAAGAAAAGCAGGAGGUUAAUACGCCGCUGGGAUGACGGUACCGAAAGAAUAAGCACCGGCUAACUACGUG